rnacentral:lncRNA from 1 species
AACUUUUCUGUUGGGGAAAAUAUUUUCUUACACAUUCUGAUUUCAUGAACAAAAAAUACUUUCAUAUUCUAGAUGGUCUACAAACUGAUAUUAUGAGAUUAGUUGUACAAGGGCGUACUGUAUGCAGGCUAAUUGUUAUGUAGCGGUCGUCCCGGCCGUAAGUUGAGGGAGGAGCAACAGCUUGACCUGGAACAAGUGCAGCUCCACUAGCAGGCACAAAACCAUGGCAUUCCAAAUUAUAACAACCCGUUGCUUUGUGGUCGUCGUUAUAUAGGAUGACAAAAAAAUUUGUAAUAUUAUUAAACAUAUGCAAAUGGCACCAUUUAACUUUACCUUGAUGACAAUAAAUUAUAGACUUACCGUCCAUCGUAUAAAGAAAUGGACAUCAUUAUUAUUAUAUAACUCAGGAAGUACCUACAUCAACCGUAAUUGUAAAUUUUUUUAUUUUGUAGUAGUGCUUGAGUUCAUAAUAAUGUUGAAAAUUAUAUUUGCAAAUGUUUCCACUUACAUGAAAUCCAGCUUCGAUCAUAUUGAAAGGCUCAUCUUGAUCAACAGUGCUGAUACUUAUUGCUGCUCCAGAUUCUUGGGAAUGACGUUGCACUUGUGAACCCCAUAUACCUAUUUUAACUCGAGCGCCAUAGCUGCUCGCUGGCGUGAUCCAGCCAGCUACCUAGGGAAAAAUAA